rnacentral:lncRNA from 1 species
AUCUCCAAGGAUGUUGUGAGUGUGUAUUAUUAACAAUGGCAGAGGUUCAUAUGCAACUAUGCAACACGUUGUUCAUCUCAAUAAUUUAAUAUUUGGGCUAGUGUUGGAGUAUUUUUUGCAUGUCUGUGUGCUGAUUGUUUAUUUUCUUACAAUGAAGAAAUGGAUUGUAGUGAUUUAUAAGGUGGGAUUUUGAUUCCAAAUUUUUUUUUCAAGAAGAAUAUGAGCAAAGAGUUCCAUUACUUUAAAUUGAGAAUUU